rnacentral:rRNA from 1 species
UCCUUCUCGUGCGGCUGAAUCGCCGCCUGUCCCUCUAAGAAGUUCUCAAAUCGCCCGAAGGAGAUUGAGACCUAGUUAGUAAGUUGGAGUCUCGUUCGUUAU